rnacentral:rRNA from 1 species
AGAGUUUGAUCCUGGCUCAGGACGAACGCUGGCGGCACGCUUAACACAUGCAAGUCGAACGAGAGAAGAGGAGCUUGCUUUUCUGAUCUAGUGGCGGACGGGUGAGUAACACGUGAGCAAUCUGCCUUUCAGAGGGGGAUACCGAUUGGAAACGAUCGUUAAUACCGCAUAACAUAAUUGAACCGCAUGAUUUGAUUAUCAAAGAUUUAUCGCUGAAAGAUGAGCUCGCGUCUGAUUAGCUAGUUGGUAAGGUAACGGCUUACCAAGGCGACGAUCAGUAGCCGGACUGAGAGGUUGAUCGGCCACAUUGGGACUGAGACACGGCCCAGACUCCUACGGGAGGCAGCAGUGGGGAAUAUUGCACAAUGGAGGAAACUCUGAUGCAGCGAUGCCGCGUGAGGGAAGAAGGUUUUAGGAUUGUAAACCUCUGUCUUCAGGGACGAAAAAAGACGGUACCUGAGGAGGAAGCUCCGGCUAACUACGUGCCAGCAGCCGCGGUAAUACGUAGGGAGCGAGCGUUGUCCGGAAUUACUGGGUGUAAAGGGAGCGUAGGCGGGAUCGCAAGUCAGAUGUGAAAACUAUGGGCUUAACCCAUAAACUGCAUUUGAAACUGUGGUUCUUGAGUGAAGUAGAGGUAAGCGGAAUUCCUAGUGUGGCGGUGAAAUGCGUAGAUAUUAGGAGGAACAUCAGUGGCGAAGGCGGCUUACUGGGCUUUAACUGACGCUGAGGCUCGAAAGCGUGGGGAGCAAACAGGAUUAGAUACCCUGGUAGUCCACGCCGUAAACGAUGAUUACUAGGUGUGGGGGGACUGACCCCUUCCGUGCCGCAGCAAACGCAAUAAGUAAUCCACCUGGGGAGUACGACCGCAAGGUUGAAACUCAAAGGAAUUGACGGGGGCCCGCACAAGCAGUGGAGUAUGUGGAUUAAUUCGAAGCAACGCGAAGAACCUUACCAGGUCUUGACAUCGUAUGCAUAGCUCAGAGAUGAGUGAAAUCUCUUCGGAGACAUAUAGACAGGUGGUGCAUGGUUGUCGUCAGCUCGUGUCGUGAGAUGUUGGGUUAAGUCCCGCAACGAGCGCAACCCUUACUGUUAGUUGCUACGCAAGAGCACUCUAGCAGGACUGCCGUUGACAAAACGGAGGAAGGUGGGGAUGACGUCAAAUCAUCAUGCCCCUUAUGACCUGGGCCUCACACGUACUACAAUGGCUGUCAACAGAGGGAAGCAAAGCCGCGAGGUGGAGCGAACCCCUAAAAGCAGUCUUAGUUCGGAUUGUAGGCUGCAACCCGCCUACAUGAAGUCGGAAUUGCUAGUAAUCGCAGAUUAGCAUGCUGCGGUGAAUACGUUCCCGGGCCUUGUACACACCGCCCGUCACGCCAUGGGAGUCGGUAACACCCGAAGCCUGUAGUCUAACCGCAAGGAGGACGCAGUCGAAGGUGGGAUUGAUGACUGGGGUGAAGUCGUAACAAGGUA